GUCUCAAGGUCAGCUUUCCAAGCAAGUGCGGGGGAGGGGUACAUGUUCUAACUGCACUGAAGUAGCGUGGUCUGGAAACAUCCAUGGAGAGAAGAUGAGCAUCUCAAGGCUUCAGUGAGCCCUGACAUCUUCUCCAUCGACGGCUGUUACAGGCAGACAUACAUCCUACCGAUAAGAAACCAGAAGCUGAGGUCCAGGCCCAUCAGAGGCCAACCACAGGGAGGCUGGACAGCAAAGGCCCACUCCAGAAGAGCAACCAAACACCAGUAACUGAGCCAAGGUUCAAAUGAGUAUGACCAUUAUGGAGAUGUUUUUCUGAUUGGCUGCAGAUCAAUCAUUCCCUGCGAAAUGAAUACGCCCCCACAUCAGGUACAGUCUAGGUCUGAAAAAUUUUGUUUCAAUAUACUACUUCUCAAAAUUAGCAUAGGAUCUCUGAAUUAACAAACGUAACG